AGUCCCACAUUGCUAAUUUUUGAAUGAUCAUUAAGGCCCAUGACUUAGGUUGGUGACAUCUAUUGCACUUUGGAGGGGUGACAGUCUAAGGUUUACCCAAGUGGUGGAUCCUACGUCAUUAUUUGUUGCAGCGGGACUUGCGUUUACGCAACCCCCUC